UAGGGAAUCUUCGGCAAUGGACGAAAGUCUGACCGAGCAACGCCGCGUGAGUGAAGAAGGUUUUCGGAUCGUAAACUCUGUUGUUAGUGAAGAACAAGGACGCUAGUAACUGAACGUCCCCUGACGGUAUCUAACCAGAAAGCCACGGCUAACUACGUGCCAGCAGCCGCGGUAAUACGUAGGUGGCAAGCGUUGUCCGGAUUUAUUGGGCGUAAAGCGAGCGCAGGCGGUUUCUUAAGUCUGAUGUGAAAGCCCCCGGCUCAACCGGGGAGGGUCAUUGGAAACUGGGAGACUUGAGUGCAGAAGAGGAGAGUGGAAUUCCAUGUGUAGCGGUGAAAUGCGUAGAUAUAUGGAGGAACACCAGUGGCGAAGGCGGCUCUCUGGUCUGUAACUGACGCUGAGGCUCGAAAGCGUGGGGAGCAAACAGG
rnacentral:rRNA from 1 species